AUACGGAGGGUGCAAGCGUUGUUCGGAUUUAUUGGGCGUAAAGCGAGUGUAGGCGGCUUCAUUAGUCUGUCGUUAAAGUUCGGGGCUCAACCUCGAUUUUGCGGUGGAAACGGUGAAGCUUGAGAGUGUUAGGGGUGUGCAGAACUCACGGUGUAGAGGUGAAAUUCGUUGAUAUCGUGGGGAAUACCAAAAGCGAAGGCAGCACACUGGAACAUUUCUGACGCUGAGGGACGAAACCCUGGGUAGCGAAUGGGAUUAGAAACCCCAGUAGUCC
rnacentral:rRNA from 1 species